rnacentral:rRNA from 1 species
GCGGUAAGACGUAGGACGCGAGCGUAAUCCGGAUUACCUGGGCGUAAAGCGUGGGUAGCCGGCGUGACAAGUUGGGCGUGAAAGCACCGUGCCCAACGCGGGGAGGCCGCACAAUACUGUCAGGCUAGAGGGCACCAGAGGGGUGUGGAAUUCCCGGAGUAGCGGUAAAAUGCGCAGAUAUCGGGAGGAACACCGGUGGCGAAAGCGGCACCCUGGGGUGCGCCUGACGCUGAGAGACGACAGCUAGGGGAGCGAACAGGAUUAGAGACCCUGGUAGUCCUAGCCGUAAACGAUGGAUGCUAGGUGUAGGAGUGAAGAGCUUCUGUGCCGCAGCGAACGCGAUAAGCAACCCGCCUGGGGAGUACGGCCGCAAGGUUAAAACUCAAACGAAUUGACGGGGACCCGCACAAGCAGCGGAGCGUGUGGUUUAAUUCGAUGCUACACGAAGAACCUUACCUGGGAUUGACAUAUGGGUGGUAGUGAUCCGAAAGGAGAGCGACCCUUCGGGGAGCCUAUACAGGUGCUGCAUGGCUGUCGUCAGCUCGUGCCGUGAGGUGUCGGGUUAAGUCCCGUAACGAGCGCAACCCUUGUCCUUAGUUACAAGUGUCUAAGGGGACUGCCGGCGGGAAGCCGGAGGAAGGUGGGGAUGACGUCAAGUCAGCAUGGCCCUUAUAUCCAGGGCGACACACACGCUACAAUGGUCGGUACAGAGGGCAGCGAAGCCGCGAGGUGGAGCGAAACCCAGAAAGCCGGUCGUAGUUCGGAUUGCAGGCUGCAACUCGCCUGCAUGAAGUUGGAGUUGCUAGUAACCGCAGGUCAGCCAUACUGCGGUGAUACGUUCCCGGGUCUGUACACACCGCCCGUCACGUCAUGGGAGUCUGUAACGCCUGAAGGCGGUAGCCUGACCGCAAGGGAGGCGCUGUCGAG